rnacentral:lncRNA from 1 species
GGGGUGGCCGCAGGUCGCCGUUCAAUAAUACGUAAUGUAUAGACUUUUGAGUAUACCAAUCUCCCUGUUUCUGUAGGUUCACCUGAGAUUUAUCUGGUCUUUCGGGGCUUAAAAGGGAGACAGUCCCAAAGACGUGAGUAAUUCUGACCUGUAGAGGAUUCCAUGGGAAGUCUUCUACAAGCCCCGAAGGAAGGGAAUCUCUCUCCUCAUACCUUGAGUUUCCUGAGUACAAUUAUUAUAGAUAUACGAAGAUCUCUAUGCUCAUGGGGAAUUUGUGGUUAGAUAUGAAGCUAAUUCAUCUCUGUUUGGGAACAGGUCAAGGGAUUUGUACAGCCCUAUAGGAGACACCUCCAGAGAAAGUAACAACUCUCAGUUGAUUAGCUGAGAAUAAACAGAUGCUUUUACAGCUCGCAUUGGUGGGAAGAUCUGGCACAAAUGAAGUAUCUAUAAGGAGCAGCAGAGUCAAGGUGGUGAUCCUGUGGAAGAA